GACGAACGCUGGCGGCGUGCUUAACACAUGCAAGUCGAACGGAAAGGCCCUGCCUGCAGGGUACUCGAGUGGCGAACGGGUGAGUAACACGUGGGUGAUCUGCCCUGCACUUCGGGAUAAGCCUGGGAAACUGGGUCUAAUACCGGAUAGGAGCCAUUUUUAGUGUGAUGGUUGGAAAGGUUUUUCGGUGUAGGAUGAGCUCGCGGCCUAUCAGCUUGUUGGUGGGGUAAUGGCCUACCAAGGCGGCGACGGGUAGCCGGCCUGAGAGGGUGGACGGCCACAUUGGGACUGAGAUACGGCCCAGACUCCUACGGGAGGCAGCAGGGGGGAAUAUUGCACAAUGGGCGCAAGCCUGAUGCAGCGACGCCGCGUGGGGGAUGACGGCCUUCGGGUUGUAAACUCCUUUCGCUAGGGACGAAGCUUUUUGUGACGGUACCUAGAUAAGAAGCACCGGCUAACUACGUG
rnacentral:rRNA from 1 species